GACGAACGCUGGCGGCGUGCUUAACACAUGCAAGUCGAACGGAAAGGCCCUGCUUUUGUGGGGUGCUCGAGUGGCGAACGGGUGAGUAACACGUGAGUAACCUGCCCUUGACUAUGGGAUAACUUCGGGAAACCGGAGCUAAUACCGGAUAAUAUAUUGAACCGCAUGGUUCAAUAGUGAAAGACGGUUUUGCUGUCACUUAUAGAUGGAUCCGCGCCGCAUUAGCUAGUUGGUAAGGUAACGGCUUACCAAGGCAACGAUGCGUAGCCGACCUGAGAGGGUGAUCGGCCACACUGGAACUGAGCCACGGUCCAGACUCCUACGGGAGGCAGCAGUAGGGAAUCUUCCGCAAUGGGCGAAAGCCUGACGGAGCAACGCCGCGUGAGUGAUGAAGGUCUUCGGAUCGUAAAACUCUGUUAUUAGGGAAGAACAAAUGUGUAAGUAACUAUGCACGUCUUGACGGUACCUAAUCAGAAAGCCACGGCUAACUACGUG
rnacentral:rRNA from 1 species